GGCCGGUUAGCUCAGUGGUUUGAGUGCGGUGCUGACAAAAAAGACGACACCGAUAUCGCAGGUUCGAUUCCUGCUCGGUCC
rfam:Apaloderma vittatum contig46266, whole genome shotgun sequence.